rnacentral:rRNA from 1 species
CCUACGGGUGGCAGCAGUGAGGAAUAUUGGUCAAUGGUCGGGAGACUGAACCAGCCAAGCCGCGUGAGGGAUGAAGGUACAGAGUAUCGUAAACCUCUUUUGUCAGGGAACAAAGGCGGGGACGCGUCCCCGGAUGAGUGUACCUGAAGAAAAAGCAUCGGCUAAAUCCGUGCCAGCAGCCGCGGUAAUACGGAGGAUGCGAGCGUUAGCCGGAUUUAUUGGGUUUAAAGGGUGCGCAGGCGGGCUGUUAAGUCAGCGGUAAAAGCCCGGGGCUCAACCCCGGCCCGCCGUUGAAACUGGCAGUCUCGAGUUGGAGAGAAGUAUGCGGAAUGCGCGGUGUAGCGGUGAAAUGCAUAGAUAUCGCGCAGAACUCCGAUUGCGAAGGCAGCAUGCCGGCUCCACACUGACGCUGAGGCACGAAAGCGUGGGUAUCGAACAGGAUUAGAUACCCCUGUAGUC